CCACACUGUAAACGAUGGAUACUAGGUGUAGGGGAUAAUAAAUCCUCUGUGCCGUCGCAAACGCAAUAAGUAUCCCACCUGGGGAGUACGGCCGCAAGGUUGAAACUCAAAGGAAUUGACGGGGGCCCGCACAAGCAGUGGAGUAUGUGGUUUAAUUCGACGCAACGCGAAGAACCUUACCAGGGCUUGACAUAUACAGGAAUAUAUAAGAGAUUAUAUAGCUCUUCGGAGCCUGUAUACAGGUGGUGCAUGGUUGU
rnacentral:rRNA from 1 species